GACAAGCCUCACAAACGUUAUUCGGAAUUACUGGGCGUAAAGCGUGCGUAGGUGGUGAGUUAAGUCUGUCGUGAAAGCCCCGGGCUCAACCUGGGAAUGGCGAUGGAUACUGGCUCGCUAGAGUGCGGUAGAGGAGAGUGGAAUUCCCGGUGUAGCAGUGAAAUGCGUAGAGAUCGGGAGGAACAUCAGUUGCGAAGGCGGCUCUCUGGACCAGCACUGACACUGAGGCACGAAAGCGUGGGGAGCAAACAGG
rnacentral:rRNA from 1 species